rnacentral:rRNA from 1 species
GACGAACGCUGGCGGCGUGCUUAACACAUGCAAGUCGAGCGGUAAGGCCCUUUCGGGGGUACACGAGCGGCGAACGGGUGAGUAACACGUGGGUGACCUGCCCUCAGCUCUGGGAUAAGCCUGGGAAACCGGGUCUAAUACUGGAUAUGACUCCAUGACGCAUGUUGUGGGGUGGAAAGCCUUGUGCGGCUGAGGAUGGGCCCGCGGCCUAUCAGCUUGUUGGUGGGGUGANGGCCUACCAAGGCGACGACGGGUAGCCGGCCUGAGAGGGCGACCGGCCACACUGGGACUGAGACACGGCCCAGACUCCUACGGGAGGCAGCAGUGGGGAAUCUUGCGCAAUGGACGAAAGCCUGACGCAGCGACGCCGCGUGAGGGAUGACGGCCU